rnacentral:rRNA from 1 species
UACGGGGGGGGCAAGCGUUGUUCGGAAUUACUGGGCGUAAAGGGCGCGUAGGCGGCCCUCUAAGUCGGACGUGAAAUCCCUCGGCUUAACCGGGGAACUGCGUCUGAUACUGGAGGGCUUGAAUCCGGGAGAGGGAUGUGGAAUUCCAGGUGUAGCGGUGAAAUGCGUAGAUAUCUGGAGGAACACCGGUGGCGAAGGCGGCAUCCUGGACCGGUAUUGACGCUGAGGCGCGAAAGCUAGGGGAGCAAACGGG